GUGUCAGCAGCCGCGGUAAUACGUAGGGGGCAAGCGUUGUCCGGAUUUAUUGGGCGUAAAAGGCUUGUAGGUGGCCACGCCAAGUCGGAUGUGAAAUCUCCCGGCUCAACUGGGAGGGGUCAUUCGAUACUGGCGGGCUCGAGGCCGGUAGGGGGAAGUGGAAUUCCCGGUGUAGUGGUGGAAUGCGUAGAUAUCGGGAGGAACACCAGUGGCGAAGGCGGCUUCCUGGACCGGUUCUGACACUGAGGAGCGAAAGCGUGGGGAGCGAUCCGGAUUAGAAACCCUUGUAGUCC
rnacentral:rRNA from 1 species